rnacentral:rRNA from 1 species
ACUAUCGUUAACUGAAUACAUAGGUUAACGAGGCGAACCGGGGGAACUGAAACAUCUAAGUACCCCGAGGAAAAGAAAUCAACCGAGAUUCCCCCAGUAGCGGCGAGCGAACGGGGAGCAGCCCAGAGUCUGAAUCAGCUUGUGUGUUAGUGGAACGGUCUGGAAAGUCCGACGGUACAGGGUGAUAGUCCCGUACACCAAAAUGCACAG